rnacentral:rRNA from 1 species
UACGAAGGGGGCUAGCGUUGCUCGGAAUCACUGGGCGUAAAGGGUGCGUAGGCGGGUCUUUAAGUCAGAGGUGAAAUCCUGGAGCUCAACUCCAGAACUGCCUUUGAUACUGAGAAGCUUGAGUCCGGGAGAGGUGAGUGGAACUGCGAGUGUAGAGGUGAAAUUCGUAGAUAUUCGCAAGAACACCAGUGGCGAAGGCGGCUCACUGGCCCGGUACUGACGCUGAGGUGCGAAAGCGUGGGGAGCAAACAGG